GAAAGAAACAAAGAGGACCUGAGAUACCAGCUUGCCAGAAAUGUGGGAAGCACCAUAGAGGAAAGUGUUUGACAGGUCAGGCAGUUUGUUUCAGAUGUCGUCAGCCUGGACAUAUUGCUCGUUUCUGUACAGCUACCCCAAUGAGAGUAGAGCAACAACAACCUAUAGGAGGGGCCACAGCCAGCGUUUAUACGAUCACCCAAGGCCCAGCAGAGGCUAACCCAUCAGCAGUCACAGGACUUAUGAGUCAAACACCAGUAGAUCCCUCUCAGAGGAACCAGAAUGAAGGAGUAGCCCCCCAGGUACCCCAGGGGUACUUAGUGCACAUGAUGUGCGAGAGAUUUUCAGAGAGAUGAUGAAAGAGCAUAAAGGUGCUCCUACACAAGGAAGUGAGACGGCGCAUAUGCUGCCAAUCCAGGGACAUGAUAUGAGAGAGGUUACUUUAGCAUCUACAGCAGCCCCAGUGAGGACUCAGUUGCAUCCUAUUUUCAACCUCCCUAGUAUGCACCAACCUCAAAUAUUUGAUGGUGCAAGGGACCCAAUAGCAGCUGAAGAGUGGUUGGAAUCAGUAGAGAGUGUCAUGGCCUUGUUUGACAUGACUGACCAAGAAAGAGUGAGAUAUGCCACUUAUCUUUUCAAGUCAGGGGCAAGAAUAUGGUGGAACUUAGUCAGGGAGACGGUCAAUGUCUUAGAGAUGACAUGGACAGAGUUUAGGCGCCGAUUCGAGGCAGAGUACAGGGGUGCCGAUGUUACUUGUAUCAGGGCCUAGGAGUUUAUCAGUCUAGUGCAAGGGACAGACUCUGUAAAAGAAUAUUCCACAAAGUUUAAUCAAUUGUCCCAGUAUGCCCCUGAGAUAGCUAGCACAGAAAUGGGGUGUAUGUAGAAGUUUGUGUACGGGUUGGAUCCAGAGAUAGCUCGAGAUGUUAUGACCGGGACGCAGCCACCUAGAACUUAUGCAGAGGCCCUUGAUAGAGCUUUGAGGGCAGAGGUUUUUGUCAGGAGGAGAUUUGGUCAGACUACAGGGCAAAAGGUUACACCUCUUACUACUAUGCCAGCUCCCCCGGUGAGCAGUGAUUCAGCUUCAGCACAAAGAGGCCCUCCGCUAGAGCGAGACAGGAAAGGUAAACGACCUCUCCAGUUUAGAGGCAUGAAAAAGAACUGGAAGAGUGGAAAGAAAUAAAGAGGACCUAAGAUACCAGCUUGCCAGAAAUGUGGGAAGCACCAUAGAGGAGAGUGUUUAAUAGGUCAGGCAGUUUGUUUCAGAUGUCGUCAGCCUGGACAUAUUGCUCGUUUCUGUACAGCUGCCCCAGUGAGAGUAGAGCAGCAGCAGCCUAUAAGAGGGGCCACAGCCAGAGUUUAUACGAUCACCCAGGGCCCAGUAGAGGCUAACCCAUCAGCAGUCACGGGUACAGGUGAUCGAGGUAGCUGCGAGGCAGGGUCAGGUCAGCGUAGGUAGAUCCGGCUGGAGCAGGUUAUCUCUGGUUUAUAUUACAUGCAUACAGUAGCAUGUUCUUAUCGACUUUUG